rnacentral:rRNA from 1 species
CGGCGUGCCUAACACAUGCAAGUCGAACGAGAAAGUGGAGCAAUCCAUGAGUACAGUGGCGUACGGGUGAGUAACACGUGACUACCUACCCUCGAGUGGGGAAUAACCUCGGGAAACCGGGGCUAAUACCGCAUAACAUCUACGGAUCAAAUGCGUAAGCAGCUUGAGGAGGGGGUCGCGGCCGAUUAGCUAGUUGGUGAGGUAAUGGCCCACCAAGGCAAUGAUCGGUAGCCGGCCUGAGAGGGCGCACGGCCACACUGGAACUGAAACACGGUCCAGACUCCUACGGGAGGCAGCAGUGGGGAAUUUUGCGCAAUGGGGGAAACCCUGACGCAGCAACGCCGCGUGGAGGAUGAAGCCCCUUGGGGUGUAAACUCCUUUCGAUCGGGACGAUUAUGACGGUACCGGAUGAAGAAGCACCGGCUAACUCUGUGCCAGCAGCCGCGGUAAUACAGAGGGUGCAAGCGUUGUUCGGAAUUAUUGGGCGUAAAGGG